GCAGUAGUGUGUUCACCUAUCACACAGGUUCACCUAUCACAUAGAGAUGAGCUGUUGUACAGUGUCAUGCU